rnacentral:piRNA from 1 species
AAGCUAGGACUGUCACCAAAAGCC